rnacentral:lncRNA from 1 species
UUGGCGCAAUACUUUCAGCAUGUGAACACCACAUGGGAAAGAAGCUGGCAUUGAGCAGGCAGUUUUGCAAACAAGGCUCUGAACUUGAAGCUCAGAGGGUGAGCGAGGCCUCGUGCCCCCAGGGCCUCUGCUUGCUCCAUGUUGGUGCCCCAACGUCCAGGGAUGCAAAGCACAGAGGACCCUUAGAGGCCACACCUGGAAGUGCUCAUUCAAUGGACCGAGGGAUGAAAGUGAGGAGAGCGUUAGGGGAGCUGUGCACAGUAAGUAGGGGCUGGAAUGGGAUGUGACCCAGGACAUCCUGGUUAGAUUUGGCCAGGAGAGCUGUGAAAAUAGGGGAAGCUGGUCCCCAAACCCCACACCCUUUUAAAAAAUCAAUCCUGGUGGGCGCAGUGGCAGAAGGACCUGAGUUUGUUACAAAGACCUCAGCAAUCCUCUCCCUCUCCUGACCUGUAAACACCAAGAGCCGGAGACAAUGCAAGUGUCAGACGCUUCUCCACCCGCAAUGAGGCCUGGGAAGCCCAAGUUGAUUGGCUUUCUUUCCAGGAAGGCAGAGCCCAGACGCACUUCAAGGUGGGUAUUUCUGUUUGUUUUCUCCUCAAGGAAAGCACAGCUGAAGGGCUCACGUAUUCCACACCCUCUUUUCAAGGCUCAUUAAUAAGGAGCCCAGGGCAAAAUCAUACAUGUGGCAAACUCCACAACCACCAAGGCCGGCAGAGCAGUGAGAGACGCUCUGCCUUGUAACCUUCUUGGUUUUCUGCAUCAUUCACACAAACCACUUUCUGCAGGGCACUGGGGUGUUCCCUAGCUGGGCUGGACCCACAGGCCCCAAUAAAGCACUUCAGGUUAGAAAGCCUAGCAAAAGGACAGGCUUGGUUCAGGGAGUCACCUGUUGCCUAUUACAAUGAAGUUAGAUGUCUCCUGACCUCAGCCCAUCCCCUGUUGGAUAAAAAGUUUCUGCUUCAGUCUUGCUGUCCACGCCCGUGGAAGAAACUACAAUAGGGGAUUUACUCUCCUGGCCCAAAUCAGGUCGAGCUUCUGGGCCUCCCUACUCCAUGCUGGGGGAUACUGGACAUUCAGAGUGCCUUUCUGUCAGCCCCGCAACACAGCCCCACUGGGGUGGCUGACUGUGCUGACCUUGUGUCUCUGAGCUCAAUUUCAACUGGGGUGUAUCUGAGGGUUAGUCUUCAGAGAACUUGGAAUGAGGUAAGACUUUCCUAGUUCCAUGUAGGUGAUUAUUUUUCCUUUUGUCUAUAUUGAGUUAUUUUGGUUCAUUUGAGAAGUAACUGGGCAGGAGGCUUGUUGACAUUUACUUGAAAUGCCAUCCUUUGUCACCUCUAAAUCAAUGGGGCUUUUCUCAACAGUGUGCAGGGCUGAAUGAGGGAGUGGAAGCCUCUACUCUGCAGCAAAGAUAAGACAAUUAUGAUCAGCCUCUGAAUUCCCAUCACCAUUGCCAGCAGCUGGGCCAUAGGCACUUGUGCAGCCACAUGGAAUACCUCCUUUGUUAGAAGUACCCAGUUUGGACACUGUGGCCC